rnacentral:rRNA from 1 species
CCUACGGGAGGCAGCAGUGGGGAAUUUUGGACAAUGGGCGAAAGCCUGAUCCAGCAAUGCCGCGUGCAGGAAGAAGGCCUUCGGGUUGUAAACUGCUUUUGUACGGAACGAAACGGUUCGCUUUAAUACAGUGGGCUAAUGACGGUACCGUAAGAAUAAGCACCGGCUAACUACGUGCCAGCAGCCGCGGUAAUACGUAGGGUGCGAGCGUUAAUCGGAAUUACUGGGCGUAAAGCGUGCGCAGGCGGUUAUAUAAGACAGUUGUGAAAUCCCCGGGCUCAACCUGGGAAUUGCAUCUGUGACUGUAUAGCUAGAGUACGGUAGAGGGGGAUGGAAUUCCGCGUGUAGCAGUGAAAUGCGUAGAUAUGCGGAGGAACACCGAUGGCGAAGGCAAUCCCCUGGACCUGUACUGACGCUCAUGCACGAAAGCGUGGGGAGCAAACAGGAUUAGAUACCCUGGUAGUCCACGCCCUAAACGAUGUCAACUGGUUGUUGGGUGCAUUAGUACUCAGUAACGAAGCUAACGCGUGAAGUUGACCGCCUGGGGAUACGGCCGCAAAGGUUGAAACUUAAUGAAAUUGGAGCGNGAGAGUGACGACGGACGACGACGAGGGAGGAGG